CCUACGGGGGGCAGCAGUGAGGAAUAUUGGACAAUGGACGAGAGUCUGAACCAGCCAAGUAGCGUGAAGGAUGACUGCCCUCUGGGUUGUAAACUUCUUUUAUAUGGGAAUAAAAUGUUCCACGUGUGGGAUUUUGUAUGUACCAUAUGAAUAAGGAUCGGAUAACUCCGUGCCAGCAGCCGCGGUAAUACGGAGGGUCCGAGCGUUAUCCGGAUUUAUUGGGUUUAAAGGGAGCGUAGGUGGAUUGUUAAGUCAGUUGUGAAAGUUUGCGGCUCAACCGUAAAAUUGCAGUUGAAACUGGCAGUCUUGAGUACAGUAGAGGUGGGCGGAAUUCGUGGUGUAGCGGUGAAAUGCUUAGAUAUCACGAAGAACUCCGAUUGCGAAGGCAGUUCACUGGACUGCAACUGACACUGAGGCUCGAAAGUGUGGGUAUCAAACAGGAUUAGAUACCCUGGUAGUC
rnacentral:rRNA from 1 species